rnacentral:sRNA from 1 species
CAGUGUCAUCCUGCAGAAUAAAGAAUCCCUGACGGAUAAAGUCAUCCUGGACGUGGGCUGUGGGACUGGGAUCAUCAGUCUCUUCUGUGCACACUAUGCGCGGCCUAAAGCGGAGAGUAGAUGACGGGCCGUGUGCAGGCUGGAUGUGCACUGACGGUGCCUCUGCUGCUGCAGGUGUACGCGGUGGAGGCCAGUGAGAUGGCACAGCACACGGGGCAGCUGGUCCUGCAGAAUGGCUUUGCCGACAUCAUCACCGUGUUCCAGCAGAAGGUGGAGGAUGUGGUGCUGCCUGAGAAGGUGGACGUGCUGGUGUCUGAGUGGAUGGGGACCUGCCUGCUGGUGAGGGCGGGUGUGCGGGCAGCUGGGGGCCGGAGCUGGGGGGCUUCUGAGCACAGGCUCGUCUGGGCCAACCUCAGGAUCUCAAGGGUCGUGCAUGAUUCAUUUUGAUGUUUUCCCUAAUGUGAGGUAUAAUUAAUUUCUUGUGUGGACAUUG